CCUGGUUGAUCCUGCCAGUAGUCAUAUGCUUAUCUCAAAGAUUAAGCCAUGCAUGUCUAAGUAUGAACUAAUUAAGACUGUGAAACUGCGGAUGGCUCAUUAAAUCAGGUAUAGUUUUUUUUAUGGUACCAUACUACUUGGAUAAUCAUAGUAAUUCUAGAGCUAAUACAUGCACCAAGUCCCGAAUUUUUGGAAGGGAUGCAUUUUUUAGAUAAAAGGCCGGUACGGGCUUGCUCGCUUCUCCGAUGAAUCAUGAUAACUCGACGGAUCGCACAACCCUUGUGCUGGCAAUGCUUCAUUCAAAUUUCUUCCCUAUCAACUUUCAACAGUAGGAUAGAGGCCUACCAUGGUGGUGAUGGGUGACGGAGAAUUAGGGUUCGAUUCUGGAGAGGGAGCCUGAGAAACGGCUAACACAUCCAAGGAAGGCAGCAAGACCGCAAAUUACCCAAUCCUGACAUGGGGAGGUAGUGACAAUAAAUAACAAUAUUGGGCUCAUCGUCUGGUGCCAACUGCCGCAGUAAUUCCAACUCCAAUAGCGUAUAUUUAAGUUGUUGCAGUUAAAAAACUCGUAGUUGGAUCUUGGGUCGUAAAGGUCGGUCCGCCUACUCGGUGUGCACCUGCCCUUCCAUCCCUUUUGUCAGCAGCGUGCUCCUGGCCUUAAUUGGCUGGGUCGUGGCUCCGACGCUGUUACUUUGAAAAAAUUAGAGUGCUCAAAGCAAGCUUAUGCUCUGAAUACAUUAGCAUGGAAUAACGUGAUAGGAUUCUGGUCCUAUUGUGUUGGCCUUUGGGACCAGAGUAAUGAUUAAUAGGGACUGUCGGGGGCAUUCGUAUUUCAUUGUCAAAGGUGAAAUUCUUGGAUUUAUGAAAGAUGGACCACUGCGAAAGCAUUUGCCAAGGAUUUUUUCAUUAAUCAAGAAUGAAAGUUGGGGGCUCGAAUACGAUAAGAUACCAUCCUAGUCUCAACCAUAAAUGAUGCCAAUCAGAGUGUUUGGGUUCCCGGGGGAGUAUCGUCGCAAGGCUGAAACAUAAAGGAAUUGACGGAAGGGCACCACCAAGAGUGGAUCCUGCGGCUUAAUUUGACUCAACACGGGGAAACUUACCAGGUCUAGACAUAGUAAGAAUUGACAGAUUGAGAGCUCUUUCUUGAUUCUAUGGGUGGUGGUGCAUGACCGUUCUUAGUUGGUGGAGCGAUUUGUCUGGUUAAUUUCGAUAACAAAUGAGACCUCAGCCUGCUAACUAGCUACACAGAGGUUCCCCUUCAUGGCCAGCUUCUUAGAGGGACUAUGGCCAUUUAGGCCAUGGAAGUUUGAGGCAAUAACAGGUUUGUGAUGCCCUUAGAUGUUCUGGGCCGCAAGCGCACUACAUUGAUGCAGCCAAGGAGCUUUUCUUCCUGGUUCAAGAGGAUCAAGAAAUCUUCUUAAAUUGCAUUUUGAUGGGGAUAGACCAUUGCAAUUAUUGGUCUUCAACGAGGAAUUCCUAGUAAGCGCAUGUCAUCAAAUCGUGUUGACUACGUCCCUAACUUUUGUACACACCGCCCGUCACUCCUACUGAUUGAAUGAUCCAGUGAAGUGUUCGGAUUGCGUCGACGAUGGUGGUCCGCCGCCAUCGAAGUCGUGAGAAGUUCAUUGAACCUUAUCAUUUAGAGGAAGGAGAAGUCAUAACAAGGUUACCGUAGGUGAACCUGCGGUAG
rnacentral:rRNA from 1 species